GGGGUUGUAGCUCAGUGGUAGAGCACUCGCCUAGCAUGUGUGAGGCCCUGGGUUCAAUCUUCAGCACCA
rnacentral:tRNA from 1 species